AAACUUGUUGCAAACAGCAGACAUAAGCAUGAAUUUAAUAUGAAGAAUGUCCAAAGGAUGAGCAUAAGGGCUACAGGUGAUCAUCAGUAACUAAAAGAGAAGCAAAAUGUCUGCUCCAAACACAGCUAAGGAUACCUAGGAUAAAAGGCGGCUGUGGUAAAUAUCAAAGAGUGGGAGAAUUUGUGCAAUAACUGUACAAGUGGUUUACCUAGUUAAAAUGACUGUUUCCAAGGAAUGGAGUACAGAUGAGUUUCCAUAUUUUCAGAAUCACUUUUUGCAGUAGGUCAGCUCCUAUUUGCCCUUCUCUGAAUUUAUUUUUGAAUAAGUGAGGUGGCUCCCACCUGGCAGGAGGGUGACUGUGAAAUCUUCUCCUUGGGCUCUUUACCUGUUGCAGAUAUUCUGUAGGUGGUUGAAUGGGCAGGGCCCCACUCUAGGUGCUGACCACACUACCGCUAAAUGUUGCUCGUCCCCUCUUCACUAAGAAUUCCCUGAUUUGUGUGAGUGUCAGGAAUAGGACAGUGUCUUUAAUGCUGUAGAACAUUCCGUCUAUAUUUAGGAAACGAGAACAAACACAAUCAAGUCCUAAAGGGAGAGGCAAAAAGUUUUUGCACUGCUGAGGCCCAUCUAUGCUUGAGAAAUCUGUUUUGCCCAAAGCAUGGGUUUGUUUUCUAUUGCAUCCUGAAUUCCUAAUGCCACACAAAAUGAUAGUAUUUCUAACUAGACUUUCUCUCUUCUGCAAAUAAUGCCUUUUAUCUUGUAUGAAAGAACAGGGGAACAUUAGAAGACACCUGAUUUUGCUAAGCUCUAAUUCAUAUGGAAUUUUUCACAGGACAGACGCACUUCCAGUAUAAUCAGCAUUAAACACUGGCAUUACUGCAUUACAGGGAAAGCACAGGGAAAACACUUCAAAACACCUCUUGAGGCAUACAGGAUAUAAGAUGAGGAGAAGAUUGUGGAGUUGCUUCACUACCAGCAGGUUUUGGCAGCACAAAAAGCAAGCAUUGACAAGGAAGGUACCUUGGCAUAUGGUCUUGGACAGCACAUCCUGGGCAGAAGGGGCAGCAUGGAAGGUGACACUAAGGCACCUGUGUGGCUUUGAAGAAGGAGGCAGGAGAUACAGAUUGGAAUGCACGUGGCCAGUAUGAUAGUUCCAAAUAUACAGCUUUAAUUUUACUGCCAUGGUAGUAACUAGAACACAGGAAGUUCCAUACAAAUGCAAAGAAGAAAAUCUGCACUGUCAGAAGGAUGGAGUACAGGAACAGGCUGCCUGAAAAGGUUGUGGAGUCUCCUUCUCUGGAGAUGUUCAAGACAUGCCUGGACACUUACCUGUGCAACCUGCUGUCGAGAAGUGCUUUAGCAGAGGAGUUGGACUGGAUCUCUGGAGAUUCCUUCCAACUCCUGCAAUUCUUUGAUUCUGUAAUAU
rnacentral:lncRNA from 1 species